GUGUCUUUGAUCAGGUUCUGCAGUUUAGGGCUUGGGCAUCUGUGGGAGACUAUUAUGCAUCUUAUCAGAAUUCUGAAACAAAUCACCAGCCAAACUUAGGAAAGAAUUGGUAGAAGGCCAACUGAUUACUUCAACAGUUUAAGCAAAUAAGAAAUAGAUCUGGAAAUUUUUCACUUGAGUGAUGAACUGUAAUCCAACGUGCUGAUACAAAUCUGGGACUUCCCGUUAUUACCCAGUCACACGCCGCUUAACAGCACUCCAGUCAAGGACAGACCGUGCGUAUGGCAGUGGCCCUGAUACAUUCCCAUGGAACUGAACUUGUCUGUCUUUGCUUCAGUCUGUGGAAUUUAGCAGAAGUGAUGCAAAGUGACCGCCCGGGGCUAGGACAGGAGGCCUGGAAGCAGGAAGAGCCUCGUAUGUUCGGUAGAACACUGAUUCGCAGACACCUGAGCUGCUGCAAAGGUGUGAGGAAGCCCAGGCCCCAUGGGGUGCCCCUAUCUAAGCUAAGCCAGUGACAGUCCCAGCUGCAGCUGGCCUUCAAGUCACUCCAGCCGAGGCACCAAAUACGGGAGUGAAGAAGCCUCCAGGGGAUUCCUGUCCACCACCAUUCAAGUCACCUGCAGAGAUCUGAGCCUCCUCACUGAGGCCGCCCCACCGAGGGGCUGUCCACACCCCUGACCCAUCACACCCGAGAGCAUAAUGAAAUAUGGUGUUUUACGCCAGGAAGUUUUGGGGUGAUUCGUGACACAGAAAUAAAGAACCAGAAAAUUCUUCAAGGUUUGGAACAAAUAAAAAUGAGUCCCAGUCAAGAUGCAACUCAACCGGUGGAAACAAAAAGAACAUGCGACCUAUUCUUUGUGAACUGUCUGUGCUCCAGAGCUUCGGUCGGUAUGAUUAGAUGGAGUGGAGAACUUUGUAUAAGCUGGCGAUAUAGGCAACUAGCUUAAUGAAUAGGCCACAUGAAAGCUGUAGCUAAGCCAAGCAAAGCGAACACUCAGAAGCACCUUCACAUACACACGUGUGGAGGAGCAUGAGUGUAUUAUCACAGCUUCCUGUUUGUGCAUGUGUGGGUGCGUGUGUUUCCCCACGGAGGGUUAUUUUCCUUCCCUCUCUCUCAUGGGAUUGCCCUUGCAAGGAUCUGGUGAUACCUCUCAUUGGGUUGCCAUUUCCAGAACUGAUACAACUUUAAUUUUUGUAUUGGUGACUUAUGGUAGAAAGGGUGUUUCCUAAUCCGAUAUUUGCUGUUCUAUUUGGGGGAGUUUUUCAGAUUUUCCUCCCAAAGUUUUAAAAAAAAGGGAAAGAAAAUAUAACAGGGCCACUUGGUAGUGCACAAUUUUCCUCUUCAUGGGCUCUUUUAAAAAAGUUUCUAGACCAUUGUGCCUCAAAUUAUAAAGUAAAUAAUUCUUCACUUAGAGGAUUAACUGCAUAAAAUGAUGGACCUCCUCAACUGUCAGGUACAUUUGAACCCUGACUGAGCGAUGAAAACUACUAAGUAUUAAGGGAAGGGCUAAAGUCCUACCCCUUCUGCAGCCACGUUUGACAUAUAGCGACACAUUGCCAGGGACUUUCUAUGGCUGUCAUAGAAAAGGAGAUUUAUGGGAGAGAGGGAAGGAGGGAGGGAGGAACGGUCCUGGUGAAGGCAGAGGAAUUCUUUGAGGUGUACUCAACAUGAGAACUGCACUCAAAUGGCAAAGCAUUUACGGCAAAAGAUUUUAUCUAAUGGCUGGUAAAUCAAUCAGGUACAUCUAUAGAAAUGUAUAAUUUUUAGCUUUAAAAUAUCAUGAAAUUUGGACCAGGAAUAGGCAUCUUGGAACACAGACAGUCAAGUCUAAAAACAUGAUUUAGAAGAAAGUCACCCAAGGUUACCAAACGAUGAAGCACCCCUCCCUUCUCCCCACCAAACGUUAAGGUGCAGGUAUGCCAGGUCUCUGUCCACACCAUCCACUGCCUACCUUAAUGGCCGGUGUGACAAACUGGAGAGGAAAUUUGCAGAAAUAUGAUUUAUUUAAUCACAUCAAAGUUGAAUCACAAAGUUCUACUGGGUAAGUGCCAGCCUCUGGGCUUUGACAGUGUGGUCCUAUGGGUCACGCUACACAGGGUGCUCAGUGCUGCUGGGCGGCAAGGCUGCAGACUGUGUUCGACCAUUCGAAUAACGCCGCUCUUAGUUUGGAGGUGUGAUAAACCCUACGAUUUAUCCCAAAAACACUUUCUUCCAAUGAAGUUUUCAGUAUGUUAAUAUUCUACCAGUAUUAUGUUCCAUCAAUGAUGUCUUCCUAUUAAUUAUAAGGUAGAACACACAUCCCCAAAUACUUUAAACCUAGGGAGAAUGUUUAGGCAAAUACCGUACUUUGCCAUGUAUAAUGUGUACCCACAUUUUCGUGUGCAUUAUACACAGGAUUAUUAUACCCGUGGCAUGUAAUCAUUAUACCCAUGUAUAAUGUACAUCAUUAUAUUCCCCUCAAACAUUUGGGCAAAAAAUUGUGUGUUAUACACAGCAAAAUACAGCACAUAGAAAAUGCAGUUGGAAAUCUUUACUUUUCUUUCCCAAAAGCCAAAGAAUUAAUAUGAGCAUGUUAAAUGGCUAAUGUAUUCAUAUUAAGGCAGAGUUGAUCAUUAUUCACAACGAGAUGAAUAAUUAGUAUUACUUGGACCAGAGCCUAAUAUAUUACUCAUAGAGUGAAGUUAUAGUAACUUGAUAUUGGAUAGUAGGAUUUUAAUUUUUUUAUUUACUGAUUUAAGAGAGAGAGGAAGGGAAGGAAGGAAGGAGAGAGGAACAUCGAUUUGUUGUCCCAGAUAUUUAUGCCUUCACUGGUUGCUUCUUGUAUGUGCCCUGACUGGGGAUCAAACCUGUAACUUUGGCAUAUCAGGACGACAGACACUCUAACCAACUGAGCUACCUGCCAGGACCUAGAUCUUAGGAUUUUAUAGAACAAAAAUACCUAAGAGCAUUAGCCUCUAAAAUCCUGUUCGUACCUCCCAGGAAAUGCAUCAGACCCAGUCCAGUCAUGGAGUUAAUACCAGAAUUUAGAUUUAAAGUUACUUUUAAAAAUAUCCUCACUCAGAAUACACUUACUGAUUUUAGAGA